AUGAACCCGAGCGGAAGGGCCAUCUCAACUUGCCAGCUCGCCUGGCCGGCAUCCGUAGGUGAGAGGUCAUCCAAAUUUGGACGUCGUGCCUCCUCCGGUCCUCCCUCCAUGCCGGUUGUUCCUUCCUCUGCAACAACACACAGGACGUCACAUGGAUUGAUUCAUUGGCUGGGACGAGAACCAAGACAAGAUACGCUACUGCAAAAUCAACAUGGAGUUUGCCCUCUGAAUGACAUGUGUUCUGGAACUAAUGAUUUCCUGAUUCUAUUGCUAUGUAGUGCGUGUGUACUCAUUAAUCAACCCCGUAGGAGUAGGUUGUCAGAAAGAAAAGAAAAUGCCUUCAGGUUUGCUUCUAUAAUUUUGACACUAUAA
rnacentral:rRNA from 1 species